CAGCCCCAGGCAGAGCCCUCACCACGCCAGCCCUGCCGACGCCUUGAUCUUGGACUCCCAGGCAUCUGCUGCAUAAACCACCCUGUCCGAUGUAUUUUCCUAUGGCAGCUUGAGCAGAAUGAGGCUGGCGCUUUGGAAGAAGGAACUUCACAUGACCUCUAAUGACUACUGAGUUCUUACGAGGAGUGCCUCGUGCUUUGCAGCAUCUAACGUCUCGAUAGUGACCUGCUAGUGCCCGGCCAGCCUGUCAGCAGAUCACGGUCACAAACCCUGGGAGAGCUGACGACAUGUUUCCCGUGUGAGACUCUGUGUCUCCCGAGAAGCAGACACCAAGACAGGAUGAGAGACGGAUUUUAUUGGGAAAAACACCUGCAGGAGAAAACAGGUG
rnacentral:lncRNA from 1 species